rnacentral:tRNA from 1 species
GCUGAUGUAGUUCAGUAGUAGAACAGUGGCGAAGAAGGUGGCGGUUGAAAGACCGUUAGAGGGACACCCGUAACCACGCCGCAGGGGGAUGGUGCAAAUCCAUCCAUCAGCACCA